rnacentral:rRNA from 1 species
UACGUAGGGCGCAAGCGUUGUCCGGAAUUAUUGGGCGUAAAGAGCUCGUAGGCGGCUUGUCACGUCGAUUGUGAAAGCCCGAGGCUUAACCUCGGGUCUGCAGUCGAUACGGGCUAGCUAGAGUGUGGUAGGGGAGAUCGGAAUUCCUGGUGUAGCGGUGAAAUGCGCAGAUAUCAGGAGGAACACCGGUGGCGAAGGCGGGUCUCUGGGCCAUUACUGACGCUGAGGAGCGAAAGCGUGGGGGGCGAACAGG